rnacentral:rRNA from 1 species
CCUACGGGUGGCAGCAGUGGGGAAUAUUGGGCAAUGGGCGCAAGCCUGACCCAGCAACGCCGCGUGAAGGAAGAAGGCUUUCGGGUUGUAAACUUCUUUUCACAGGGACGAAGCAAGUGACGGUCCCUUUGGAUUAACCCACGGCUACCUACGUGCCAGCAGCCGCGGUAAUACGUAGGUGGCAAGCUUUAUCCGGAUUUACUGGUGGGAAAGGGCGUGUAGGCGGGGCUGGAGGUCAGAUGUGAAUCCCAUGGGCUCAACCUGUGGCCUGCAUUUGAAACGGUAGUUCUUGAGUGCGGGAGAGGCAGACGGAAUUCCUGGUGUAGCGGUGAAAUGCGUAGAUAUUAGGAGGAACACCAGUGGCGAAGGCGGACUGCUGGACGGCAACUGACGCUGAGGCGCGAAAGCGUGGGGAGCAAACAGGAUUAGAUACCCUUGUAGUC